rnacentral:ncRNA from 2 species
GUGCGUCUUCAGGGCGGGGCGAAAUUCCCCACCGGCGGUAUGCCGGCAGCGCGAAAGCGUGAGCCGGCGAGCCCGCGAGCGCCCGCGUCGUUCAGGUUCUCAGCGUAUCGAAAGCCGUAGCGGGGUCAGCAGAUCUGGUGCGAAGCCAGAGCCGACGGUCAGAGUCCGGAUGGAAGAAGAUGUGC